rnacentral:tRNA from 1 species
CCUGGUGGCUCAGAGGGUAAAGCGUCUGCCUGCAAUGCAGGAGACCUGGGUUCGGUCCCUGGGUCAGGA